rnacentral:rRNA from 1 species
GAUUUAUCGAGAUAGUGGCGAACGGGUGAGUAACGCGUAAGCAACCUGCCCCUAAGUAGGGGAUAACCCUAAGAAAUUGGAGCUAAUACCUUAUGUGGUGGUGGAGGUAAGGCUCCAUCACUAAAGCCUUAGGGUGCUUGGGGAGGGGCUUGCGUCCGAUUAGCUAGUUGGUAGGGUAACGGCUUACCAAGGCGAUGAUCGGUAGCUGGUUUGAGAGGACGGCCAGCCACAUUGGGACUUAGACACGGCCCAGACUCCUAUGGGAGGCAGCAGCAAGGAAUAUUGUGCAAUGGGCGAAAGCCUGACACAGCGACGCCGCGUGGGGGAUGAAGGCUUUCGGGUUGUAAACCCCUUUUCUCAGGGAAGAAUAAUGACGGUACCUGAGGAAUAAGUCUUGGCUAACUACGUGCCAGCAGCCGCGGUAAUACGUAGGAGGCGAGCGUUAUCCGGAUUUACUGGGCGUAAAGAGGGCGUAGGCGGUUCAUCAAGUCGGAUGUGAAAUUUCCCGGCUUAACUGGGAGGGGUCAUUCGAUACUGUUGGACUAGAGGGCAGCAGAGGGAGGCGGAAUUCCCGGUGUAGUGGUGAAAUGCGUAGAUAUCGGGAGGAACACCAGUGGCGAAGGCGGCCUUCUGGGCUGUUUCUGACGCUGAGGCCCAAAAGCGUGGGGAGCGAACAGGACUAGAUACCCUGGUAGUCCACGCCGUAAACUAUGGACACUAGGUAUAGGGAGUAUCGACCCUUU